rnacentral:rRNA from 1 species
AUGAACGCUGGCGGCGUGCCUAAUACAUGCAAGUCGAGCGAACAGACGAGGAGCUUGCUCCUCUGACGUUAGCGGCGGACGGGUGAGUAACACGUGGAUAACCUACCUAUAAGACUGGGAUAACUUCGGGAAACCGGAGCUAAUACCGGAUAAUAUAUUGAACCGCAUGGUUCAAUAGUGAAAGACGGUUUUGCUGUCACUUAUAGAUGGAUCCGCGCCGCAUUAGCUAGUUGGUAAGGCAACGGCUUACCAAGGCAACGAUGCGUAGCCGACCUGAGAGGGUGAUCGGCCACACUGGAACUGAGACACGGUCCAGACUCCUACGGGAGGCAGCAGUAGGGAAUCUUCCGCAAUGGGCGAAAGCCUGACGGAGCAACGCCGCGUGAGUGAUGAAGGUCUUCGGAUCGUAAAACUCUGUUAUUAGGGAAGAACAAAUGUGUAAGUAACUAUGCACGUCUUGACGGUACCUAAUCAGAAAGCCACGGCUAACUACGUG